AUCUCGCGGCCAGCGCGCAAGCGCCUCGACUCCGGCGGGUAGGCCGCUCUCGACUCUACCAAGGCAACCAGGAAGCGCCUCAGAUACAACCCCCGUCUACAAAGCCCUUGCCGUGGUCAUCGGAGCAGGCAGUGGCUCGUGGUCGGGACGUCUACCUGAGCUGCGCCUUCCUGGUUGCAUAGCAAGGCCUCGUCCUCACCUUGAACCCCUGGGAAGGCGCGAGGACCGCAGGAAGCACCGAGAGUAAUGGAUGUUUCGGUGGAAAAUGUCGUCGCCAGCGCGGAAACUGAUCCUGUGACUGCAGUCAUUUUGGAAGAAACUAGCGAUCCGCCGGAUGCGCUAUUUAUUUUGAUAUUGGCGCUUGUGAUCGCAUGCGCAGCCCCAUCAUUCGCGACCUGGCUGCUUCACAAGCUGGGUUUCGGUGAGCGGGGAAUCAGGGCCAACACUGUGGCAGCACAUUGGCAAGCUUCGACUCGUGGCGUCGUUCAUAGGGCGAGCGUCUUUGCCAUAUUGCAGAGCUGCGGAGUUAAGGGUAUUCCCUUAAUUUUCAAAAUUGUCAUCGGCUACUUCGCCUUCUACCUCGCCCUGAUAUGUAUGCUUUUUGGGUGACGGCGAGCGCCACUCCGCCUGCGCAAAUUCUCCCCUUCCAACGACCGAAAUUUCGACUGAAAUAAAGAACACAGAAGCUUC